UGCCCAGCAACUCCUACUCUUAUCCCAACCUUCUCGUGGUACUGGUUGGGGUAGGAGUAACCUUAGGGAAGAUCUGGUAACCAACCCCGGUGGGAACUUUGGUCGUAUGCUGACAGGGAAGG
rnacentral:ribozyme from 1 species